GGACUACACGGGUUUCUAAUCCCGUUCGCUCCCCUAGCUUUCGCCCACGAGCGUCAGGUACCAGCCAGAACCCUGCCUUCGCUUUUGGUGUUCCUCCGGAUCUCUACGCAUUUCACCGCUCCACCCGGACUUCCAGGUCCCUCUCUGGCCCUCAAGAACGGCCGUCUUUGGUAUCCUCUCGUAGUGAAGCCACGAGCUGUCACACCAAACGCACCCUUCCGCCUGCGGGCCCUUUACGCCCAGUAACUCCGGACAACGCUCGCCCCCUACGUCUUACCGCGGCGGCUGGCAC
rnacentral:rRNA from 1 species